rnacentral:rRNA from 1 species
AACGAACGCUGGCGGCAGGCCUAACACAUGCAAGUCGAACGAUGUAGCAAUACAUAGUGGCGCACGGGUGAGUAACGCGUGGGAAUGUACCAUUUGGUGGGGAAUAACUCCGGGAAACUGGAGCUAAUACCGCAUACGCCCUUCGGGGGAAAGAUUUAUCGCCAAAUGAUCAGCCCGCGUGAGAUUAGAUAGUUGGUGGGGUAAUGGCCUACCAAGUCGACGAUCUCUAGCUGGUCUUAGAGGAUGACCAGCCACACUGGAACUGAGACACGGUCCAGACUCCUACGGGAGGCAGCAGUGGGGAAUAUUGGGCAAUGGACGAAAGUCUGACCCAGCCAUGCCGCGUGAGUGAUGAAGGCUCUAGGGUUGUAAAGCUCUUUCGCCGAUGAAGAUAAUGACGGUAGUCGGAGAAGAAGCCCCGGCUAACUUCGUGACAGCAGCCGCGGUAA